GGGCUGUAAAGCUCACACUCCUUCAUUUUCUUUUUCUUCUUAGAGUUACAAGAUGUCCAUGAUUGGCUAUGGUAUGGAUUUGUGAGUGAGCGGAUGCAUAGAUAGAGUACCGUUGAUACCUGAUCAGAGGAUUGAAGGAAUGUUAAUUGUAAUUAUGCAAGUUUUAUGAAUUAUUGUUGAAAUAAAUUAUUAUGGUUGAUAAGGUUGUAAUGAUUUAAUUUGGCCUUGCAUAUUCUUUAGGGCUUGCUCUAAGGAGUGUGCGACCAUCACGUAUCCGACCCGGGUGUUGGGUUCGGGGCGUGAUAGAAUGGUAUUAGAGCUUAGGAUAUGAUCAUUAGGGAUUAUGAUAUAAGUGAUUAGAAUAUUACAGAAUGGUAUCAGAGCUUAGAUUAUGAUCAUUGGAGAUUACGAUAUAAAUGAUUAGGAUGUGAUAGAAUAAUAUCAAAGCUUAGGUUUAAGAUCACUAGAGAUUAUGAAGAGAUAUUAAAACUUUAUGUAAGAUCAAUAGGAUGUGACAGAGUGGCAUUUGAGCUUAGAGCUUAGGUUACGUUUAUUCGGAGACAAUGAUACAAGUGAUUAGGAUAUGACAGAACAGUACUAGAGCCCAAGUUUAAGGUCACUAGGGAUUGUCAUAUAAGUGAUAUCAAAAUUUUGGGAUUAUAAUCACUAAAGUAUGAUUGAUAAUAUCAGAGUUUAAGAUUUUGAUCAUUAAAGGUAUGAUAGAAUGAUAUUAGAGUUUAGGUUAUGAUCACUAGAAAAUAUGAUUUAAG
rnacentral:lncRNA from 1 species